AUGGCGAAGCCAAAUUAUCAUUGUUUUUCCUUGCAUGCAAAAUGCAGCAAUAGAUCUUCGUCCUUGGCUAGUUUCCCAUAUUUUCACCGCCUAUGUUGCAGGUAUUCGACCCUAUUGGAGUCUCCUUUUUUGUCACUGUUUCUCACUUUCUGUGAUGUGAUGUGUGCGCAAAUAUUCCCACAGCAACUACAUAAUAAUAAAUCCAUUUACGCAAGCGCCCGAAUAAUGGCAAUGAUAUAUUACCGCUCAAAGCGCAUCUCCUAA
rnacentral:rRNA from 1 species